rnacentral:rRNA from 1 species
CAGCCGCCGCGGUAAUACGUAGGGGGCGAGCGUUGUCCGGAAUUAUUGGGCGUAAAGCGCGUGUAGGCGGCUCAGCAAGUCCGCUCUGAAAGCCCAGGGCUCAACCUGGGAAUGGCAGUGGAUACUGGCAAGCUAGAGUGUGUCAGAGGAUGGUGGAAUUCCCGGUGUAGCGGUGAAAUGCGUAGAGAUCGGGAGGAACAUCAGUGGCGAAGGCGGCCAUCUGGGACAACACUGACGCUGAGGCACGAAAGCGUGGGGAGCAAACAGGAUUAGAUACCCCCGUAGUCCCUGUCUCUUAUAC